rnacentral:rRNA from 1 species
UACAGAGGUCCCAAGCGUUGUUCGGAUUCACUGGGCGUAAAGGGUGCGUAGGUGGCCAGGUAAGUUCGGUGUGAAAGCUCGGAGCUUAAUUCCGAAAUGGCAUUGAAUACUAUCUGGCUAGAGGGUCGGAGGGGAGACUGGAAUUCUCGGUGUAGCAGUGAAAUGCGUAGAUAUCGGGAGGAACACCAGUGGCGAAGGCGGUUGCCUGGAGCUUUGCUGACGCUGAUGCGCGAAAGCGUGGGGAGCGAUCCGG